AAACUGGCUUUCCAAAUGGAUAACGCCCUCAGUUCAAAGCAAAGGAUCUAACAGAUUUUAUGUAAAUACAUGGACGCUGGAAUGUUCAAGGUGAUCUUACACAUUACCCAAGUGUUCCUUUGUAAACAGUGCUAGAGAUUCUGUGCCCCUAACGUCCCUCCAUCCCCACCACAGCCCGGCUUCCUCUUCAUAGUAAUAGCUGAGGUUGGUUUUGGAAUCAGGAAACUAGAUCUGUUAGUGACUGGCUAGUCACCUUGCCUCUCAGUUAAGAUCUGAAUGCAGAAAGGGUACAUUUUAUGUUGGUCUUAUAUUAGCAUAAAACAUAACUCAUUCUUAAGAGGUGUUGUAUGUGCCCAGACUCACUACGUCUAGAAGAGAAGAGGACUGUUAACAACACUGUAGCUCAUAGAAUUGUUGGUAUAAAUCUUCCUAAUUUUCAUGCCAAUGUAAUUCAAAAUACUUCAGAAAAAGAAAACAAAGUAGGUUAUCAGGAGGAACAUGCUUAUUCAAGUACAAUUUCAUAUUUGCUAGUCUUCAAGAUUUCAGAUUUUUCUUAUAUUGCAUAGGGAUAUGGGGAGUGGGAAGAAAAAAGACCAUACUUAUUGAAUAUAUAUAUUAUGUGCCGAGCACUGAGCUAGUAAUUUUAUAUAUGAUGGCUCAUUUGCCAGGGGCAAAAUAAUAAUAAUAAUAUUGAUGAUUUAUAAGACUCCAAUACUUAAGGAAUUCAUAUUGGUUUUUAAAGUUCUAAAACCUGAAUCAGAAUAUAAUUAAUAGUCUUUGUCAUUCAUUCUUUUAUUCCCCAUUCUAUCAAGGCACAUUUAUUAAGCACCCAUGCAAUGCGUGGAGAUGACCAUGGUCCUGACUCCAAGGGCCUUCUUCUAAUGGGAAGAGAGGUUAACCUAGUACUGACUGGUAGGUACUCUGACAGAAGAACAUCAAAACUCCCCACAACCCUUUAUAAAACACUCAACUAUGCAUUUACAAAACAAAGAUAUUAUACAACAAAGAUAAUAAAAGUCACGCCAGA